UCCAAUGGGUAUAAUCCCCGAUAGAUCUCGGUCGCUGGAAAGCCCCGAGACGAAAGCUCCGGCGCCAGAGGAUGGGUCUGCGGCCUAUCAGGUAGUAGUGGGUGUAGCGUACCUACUAGCCUACGACGGGUACGGGUUGUGAGAGCAAGAGCCCGGAGAUGGAUUCUGAGACACGAAUCCAGGCCCUACGGGGUGCAGCAGGCGCGAAAACUUUACAAUGCCGGGAACGGCAAUAAGGGGACCUCGAGUGCCAGGUUACAAAUCUGGCUGUCGUGAUGCCUAAAAAGCAUUGCAUAGCAAGGGCCGGGCAAGACCGGUGCCAGCCGCCGCGGUAACACCGGCGGCUCGAGUGGUAACCGUUAUUAUUGGGUCUAAAGGGUCUGUAGCCGGCCGGAUAAGUCUCUUGAGAAAUCCGGCAGCUCAACUGUUGGGCUUUCAGGAGAUACUGUCUGGCUCGAGGCCGGGAGAGGUGAGAGGUACUUCAGGGGUAGGGGUGAAAUCUUGUAAUCCUUGAAGGACCACCAGUGGCGAAGGCGUCUCACCAGAACGGACCUGACGGCAAGGGACGAAAGCUAGGGGCACGAACCGGAUUAGAUACCCGGGUAGUCCUAGCCGUAAACGAUACUCGCUAGGUGUCGGCCACGGUGCGACCGUUGUCGGUGCCGUAGGGAAGCCGUGAAGCGAGCCACCUGGGAAGUACGGCCGCAAGCUGAAACUUAAAGAAUUGGCGGGGG
rnacentral:rRNA from 1 species